CCUACGGGAGGCAGCAGUGAGGAAUAUUGGUCAAUGGUCGGGAGACUGAACCAGCCAAGCCGCGUGAGGGAUGAAGGUACAGAGUAUCGUAAACCUCUUUUGUCAGGGAACAAAGGCGGGGACGUGUCCCCGGAUGAGUGUACCUGAAGAAAAAGCAUCGGCUAACUCCGGGCCAGCAGCCGCGGUAAUACGGAGGAUGCGAGCGUUAUCCGGAUUUAUUGGGUUAAAGGGGUGCGCAGGCGGUUUGUUAAGUAGGCGGGAAAAGCCCGGGGCUCAACCCCGGCCCGCCGUUGAAACGGGCAGUCUCGAGUUGGAGAGAAGUAUGCGGAAUGCGCGGUGUAGCGGUGAAAUGCAUAGAUAUCGCGCAGAACUCCGAUUGCGAAGGCAGCAUGCCGGCUCCACACUGACGCUGAGGCACGAAAGCGUGGGUAUCGAACAGGAUUAGAUACCCCUGUAGUC
rnacentral:rRNA from 1 species